AUGUUGCUGCUGAGGAAUCGUGGUUUGUUGAGUCUCCAAGUCACUUCUCUCUUAUCGUCCUCUUCUUCUUCAUCAUCUCAAGCAACUCCACCUUUCUUUCUCUGCUUUAAAAACACUCUCUUUCACUCUACUCACCAAAACCCUAGCCCUAAACCCAAACCCAAGCCCCAAACCCAACACCAUGUCUCUGCUUCAAAGACUGAAAAACAAGCCAUUUCGGACACUGCCCGGUUCGCGCAAACCUUCCUCUUCGUACCGCCAGGGGUCGAUCCCGAGGAGGUGACGGACGACAUGGUUCUACCCGGUUCCAACAUCGUGCUUGGUCCCUAUGCGGGUCACGCCCAGAUAAAGGAGGUGGAGUUCGUGAAAAGCAGUAGUAGGCCAAAGGAUUGCCCCAAGGAUGAUCGCCCUGAGUUUGCCAUUCUUGGUCGGUCCAAUGUCGGUAAAUCUUCGCUUAUCAAUGCCCUUGUUCGCAAGAAAGAAGUAGCCCUUACAUCUAAAAAACCAGGGAAAACUCAACUUAUUAAUCAUUUCUUAGUGAACAAGAGCUGGUAUAUCGUGGAUCUGCCUGGUUAUGGGUUUGCUAAGGCCCCAGAAUCUGCCCGGAUGGAUUGGUCUGCCUUCACCAAAGGUUACUUCUUAAACAGAGCAACUCUGGUUGCUGUCCUCCUACUCAUUGAUGCAAGUGUUCCACCACAAAAGAUUGACCUUGACUGUGCUAAUUGGCUUGGUCGCAACAAUAUACCAAUGACUUUUGUUUUCACAAAGUGCGACAAAAUGAAGGGGGGGAAAGGAAAAAGGCCAGAUGAGAACAUAAAAAAUUUCCAAGUGAUGAUGGGACAAAACUAUGGAAAACAUCCCCCAUGGAUCAUGACUAGCAGUGUUACUGGUUUGGGCAGAGAUGAGCUUCUUCUGCAUAUGUCUCAACUGAGGAACUACUGGGAUAACUAGGAGCCAAGUUGAAAGUUAAAACAUCUCCCACAUGUGACUCUCCAUAAGAGGAAAUCUUUGGGCAUGCUCACUAAUUCAGACAUGGUAGAUCCAAGUGCCCAAAGAUGGAUUGGUGCAUAAUGGAGCUACCUCAAUCAUCCUUACGCCCUCUUGCUGAAUUCAGUCCCCAACUAUGGAUCCACGAGCUCCAUUAAAUUUCUUGUUUGUCACAAAGCAAAGGCCUGAAAAAUGCAAAAAAAUAAAAUAAAAAUCCUCAUUUGGUUUA